UACAGAGGGUGCGAGCGUUAAUCGGAAUUACUGGGCGUAAAGCGCGCGUAGGCGGCUUUGCAAGUCGGGUGUGAAAUCCCCAGGCUUAACCUGGGAACUGCAUUCGAGACUGCAUUGCUAGAGUAUGGGAGAGGGAAGUGGAAUUUCCGGUGUAGCGGUGAAAUGCGUAGAUAUCGGAAGGAACAUCAGUGGCGAAAGCGACUUCCUGGACCCAAUACUGACGCUCAUGUGCGAAAGCGUGGGGAGCAAACAGG
rnacentral:rRNA from 1 species